CUCUUCCUCCCUUUCUUCCUCCUCCUCUUCCCCUUCCUCCUCCUCCUCCUCCUCCUCCUUCUUCUUCUUCCAGGGUCUCACUAAGUUCCUGGCCGCAAACCUGUGUGUCUCCUGCCUCAGCUUCCCAAGUAGCUGGGAUUAUGGGUGUGUGCCACUGAGCCUGGCCAGGAUGGUUCUUUUGAAGACUUUUGAUGUCAAGAGAAGUGAGAAACGAGUGAAAGGGGCUAUGGGGUCAAAAGAGAAGUCCUCUCUCAGAGUUCUCACCUCCUGUCCGCAUCACAGGACCAAAGCUGCACCUUGACUUUAGGCCCAUGGCAAUGUUUCUGUGUGGUUUACUAGAGACAGAGCCUCACCAGAGAAACCUGCCAAGCCAUGGCUGGCCGCCGUUCUGUGAGCAGGAAAUAGAACUGCAAUGUCCCCUGGGAGAGAAUAAUGGGGGGACAUAGGGAACUCCGAGAAGCUCAGCAGAAAUGGCUUUCAUGCUAAACCUGGAGGGUCGGCAGCCAGGUCACAGAGGGAGGAGCACAGGACGGGCCCGGGGUGGGAACAAAGGUGGUAGCAUCCACACACGGCUGCUGCUGCUGAUUUUCUCUCCAAGUGGAGCAGGCAGCCGUGUGGGAAGCAAAGCCUCCUGUCCGUCUAAUACGGUUGAAAGGGAAGAAAGACAUGAGGCUUCUUCGAGGAGGGGAGGAGGGACAGGUUGUGUCUCAGCCUGGGCUCCCCUAAAGCAGCCCAGCCAAGGAACUGAGCUGGGAAUAGUUUACCUCCUGCCGAGGAGGGCUUGUGGGAGCUGGACUGAGAUAAGGACAGAAGGAGUGUGAGGAGGUGGGGUUGCCAUAAAGUUACCCUCUGGGAAGUGGACUCAGCCGCCUGGAGCCCCAGAUGCCAGCCAGGGGCACAGUGGGGUCCUGGCACCCUGAGCGACCCCCGGCCUGAUGCACACUGCCGGCAGGGAGAGGCAGCCCCAGCAGCUGGAGGAGCCUGGGCACUGAUGCAGGGCUGGCAGAGGAAGGCAGCCAGCUUGCGCAGCCUUGCUUUCUUCAUCUGCUCCCAACUUGGAGAAUGUUGGGGUCUUCAGACAAACCACACGUCACCCCAGCCCAUGGUAGACAGCACUAACUGGGGACUGUUUCCAUCGGGGCUGUCGUCUACUCUGAAACCAGGGCCGGAUAAGCUGAUAUCACCCAGUUCCUCCUGCUCUGAUCUACCUCUCAGGGCUCCUCCAGCCUCUCAUCAGCUGUGGUUUUUCUUCGGCUGAAGCCACAUCCAGAGGGACCUCAGGGGCUGCCUGAUUCCCCUUCAGACUGCAGAGCCCACAGCCCAUGCUGUUGUUCCAAGGUAGGAGAGAGGAAGUAAAGACAGGUAGGAAGGAGACAAGGAAAAUCAUGAUUUAAAAAAAUUGUACUUUUAAGAAAACUGCCACUUCCAGGCUCUGGGGAAAGUUAUCGAGGUGCUCCACAUUGGCACUCUCUUGGUUAAAAUACACUUCUCUCCUUGCAGACCCGCCCCCGCCCUCCCAGAUUCCUUAAGGGUUCUGUAAGUCCAUAAAUCAGCUUAGUCCAGGAAGUAAACUGUGCAAACCUGAUCUGAAGAUAAAGGGACUCCUUGAGAGAAUUCCAAGAAUGCCUAAAUAAUCCAUCUAAAAACUCAGGGCCCUUACUGUCAAAGGGGCCAUUUUCCUGCUGGGGGAUGAACCGACUUUCCCAAAGGUUUCCACCCCUUCAAGAGAAACAUAAAUGUUCCCAGCUCCAGAAGAAAGUGUGCUUCUCACUUGAGGGCCUGCAUUCUACUUCUUUAAGUGUGUACUUUUGAAAUUCUUCCUCAUAAAUCCCUUUCAGGCUCUUACUGACUGGGCCUGAAAAUUCUUUUUCCACAAAGGGAGUCACAAGCUUAUUCAAUGGGGGGAAGAGAGGGCAGCAUCCUCCUUUCUGCUUUGGGACCCUGCAGGGACCCUGCCAGGGACUUGUUCUCUUGGUGAGCCAGCAGCGGGAUGUAAAGAGGCACCAGGACUAGGACUUGAUUUUUUUUUUUUGGUACUGCGGAUCAAACUCGGGACCUUGCACUUGCAAGGCAGGUGGUGGAACCACUGAGCUAAAUCCCUGGCUCUCCAUUGUUAAUGCUUUUGAUUCUUUAAGAAACCAAGUUUUGCCAGGCAUGAUGAUGCACACCUGUAAUCCCAGCACUCUGGAGGCUAAGACAAGAGGAUUACUUGAAGUUCAAGGCUAGCUGGGGCUACAUAGCUAGUGAGGGCCCGUCAAGAAAGACAGAAAGAAAGAAAGAAAGAAAGAAAGAAAGAAAGAAAGAAAGAAAGAAAGAAAGAAAGAAAGAAA